GGGUAUAGCUCAGUGGUAGAGCGCAUGCAGUCCUGGGUUCAAUCCCCAGUACCUCCA
rnacentral:tRNA from 1 species